CAGCAGCCGCGGUAAUACAGAGGGUGCGAGCGUUAAUCGGAUUUACUGGGCGUAAAGCGUGCGUAGGCGGCUUCUUAAGUCGGAUGUGAAAUCCCUGAGCUUAACUUGGGAACUGCAUUUGAAACUGGCAAGCUAGAGUCUUGUAGAGGGGGGUAGAAUUCCAGGUGUAGCGGUGAAAUGCGUAGAGAUCUGGAGGAAUACCGGUGGCGAAGGCGGCCCCCUGGACAAAGACUGACGCUCAGGUGCGAAAGCGUGGGGAGCAAACAGGAUUAGAUACCCCAGUAGUCCCUGUCUCUUAUAC
rnacentral:rRNA from 1 species